UCUCCGUAGGUGAACCUGCGGAGGGAUCAUUACCGAGUGCGGACCAGGAGACCCCUGGCCCGUGACCUCCAACCCUUUGUGGACCCAUCUCGUUGCUUCGGGGGCGACCCUGCCGUUCCGGCACCGGCGCCCCCGGAGCCCAUCAAACCCUGCGUAACUAAGUCGUCGGAGUUUAAACAAAUUAAACAAAACUUUCAACAACGGAUCUCUUGGUUCGGGCAUCGAUGAAGAACGCAGC
rnacentral:misc_RNA from 1 species